rnacentral:rRNA from 1 species
CCUACGUGAGGCAGCAGUGAGGAAUAUUGGUCAAUGGGCGCGAGCCUGAACCAGCCAAGUAGCGUGAAGGAUGACUGCCCUACGGGUUGUAAACUUCUUGUAUAAAGGAAUAAAGUGAGGCACGUGUGCCUUUUUGUAUGUACUUUAUGAAUAAGGAUCGGCUAAAUCUGUGCCAGCAGCCGCGGUAAUACGGAGGAUCCGAGCGUUAUCCGGAUUUAUUGGGUUUAAAGGGAGCGUAGAUGGGUUGUUAAGUCAGUUGUGAAAGUUUGCGGCUCAACCGUAAAAUUGCAAUUGAUACUGGCAGUCUUGAGUACAGUAGAGGUAGGCGGAAUGCGUGGUGUAGCGGUGAAAUGCUUAGAUAUCACGAAGAACUCCGAUUGCGAAGGCAGCUUACUAAACUGCCACUGACAUUGAUGCUCGAAAGUGUGGGUAUCAAACAGGAUUAGAUACCCCAGUAGUC